rnacentral:rRNA from 1 species
UACGAAGGGUGCAAGCGUUAAUCAGAAUUACUGGGCGUAAAGCGCGCGUAGGUGGUUCAGUAAGUUGGAAGUGAAAUCCCCGGGCUCAACCUGGGAACUGCUUUCAAAACUGCUGAGCUAGAGUACGGUAGAGGGUGGUGGAAUUUCCUGUGUAGCGGUGAAAUGCGUAGAUAUAGGAAGGAACACCAGUGGCGAAGGCGACCACCUGGACUGAUACUGACACUGAGGUGCGAAAGCGUGGGGAGCAAACCGG